rnacentral:rRNA from 1 species
GACGAACGCUGGCGGCGUGCUUAACACAUGCAAGUCGAACGGAAAGGCCCUGCUUGCAGGGUGCUCGAGUGGCGAACGGGUGAGUAACACGUGGGUGAUCUGCCCCUUAUUUUGGGAUAAGCCUGGGAAACUGGGUCUAAUACUGGAUAGGACCAUGCUGUAGGUGGUGUGGUGGAAAGAUUAGUUUCGGUAAGGGAUGAGCUCGCGGCCUAUCAGCUUGUUGGUGGGGUAAUGGCCUACCAAGGCGUCGACGGGUAGCCGGCCUGAGAGGGUGGACGGCCACAUUGGGACUGAGAUGCGGGCCAGACUCCUACGGGAGGCAGCAGUGGGGAAUAUUGCACAAUAGGCGCAAGCCUGAUGCAGCGACGCCGCGUGGGGGAUGACGGCCUUCGGGUUGUAAACAACUUUCAGCCAUGACGAAGCCCUUGUGGUGACGGUAGUGGUAGAAGAAGCACCGGCUAACUACGUG